UCUCCCACUUCCUUUUAAAACUUUUUUCAGAGGAAAUAUAGAAACUGCAAAGCACAAACUGUGGUUUAUUAUCCUGUUUUGAGUUAAAGAGGCCAUGCAGAAAGGCAGAAGGCAAGGGAAAUGCUGCUUUGCUGAGGUCAGUUUGCAAACGGCUGCUCCAUGUGGCCAGUGAGAACGGCCCACAAUACUGAGUUCUGCAGAUCUCCAAAAGCAGCCACUUCACACAAGUCUCAAUAGAUCCAUCACAAAUUUUCUCCUGCUCUCUCCUACAAUCCUGGAAGUCUCUCAAACUAGCUGCAAGGAGUGUGAAGGAUGCAUAACUCUGGAUGUCUUCUGAAGAGCUAGCUACUCCACUUACUACGAUCUAUCAGAAUAAAAGGGUAAUAAACAUACUUGAAAAAAAUGGAUUGUGGUGGAAACACCAGCUGAAGAACAGGGGCCCAUCCAUAUUGAUGUUGGUGGUGGAGGAUCUUUUCAGCAAGACGGCACAUUUCAUCUGGAUGCCUUCCGUUACAGAUGAAUGAUUUAUAGAGCACUUUCAGAUCACAGAAGUCAACUUAGUUCCAUGAUUUGAAAGGCAUUAUUCCACCUUUUGAAGGUACAAAUCAGUUUGUCAUCAGCCCACCACCCUGUUACAAACAGGGAGGCUAAGACUAACCAGAUGCUGCAACACUAUUUAAAGUGUUACUGUACAUACAGCCAGGACAAUUGAAAUGACCCUGUUCCAGGCCUUACACAGGAAGCACCCAAGGGUUUUACCUGCGACCUCACAACAGGUUCUCAUCCUGGAGCCAUAGAUUUUUCUACAGGAGCAAUGUGCUGCUCAAGCACUGUUGAAAGAAUAGCUAGACCAAGCUAAACAGUCUUACAAAAAGUUUGCAGACUUCCCUUGGCAAGAGGGGCUGACAAAUGCAGAGGGAGAUAAUGUGUGGCUGCCUACCAAAUUUUUAGCCUUUUCUUAGCCCUGUUAAGGCCCUAUGACAGGUCAAUAUUGUGGCCUUUCUUUGUAAUUGCCACAGUCAAUGAAAAUGCACCCAGUUUUCAGCAUUCUUUGCUGGUGAAGGAAGCACCACCAAACACUUUGAAAUCACAACAGCAUCUACCUCACCCUCACCCCAUGAUUGUCGAAGGCAAAAAUGAAUUCAAAGUGGAAGAAAUAUUGGAGUCAAGGAGGCAGGAGAAAGGAAUACAGAAUUUGAUUCACUGGAAGGACUACCCAGUUCAUGGGAAAAUGUAAGCUCUUCCAGCCAUUUGUUUGUAUGUCAAGAUAUCCAACAAUCUGCUACCAAAUACAGGAGUUCGGAUAAUUACCCGACGUGCAGGCAGAUUUACCCCUGAAGAAAGUGUCGAAGUUGCUAUUAAAACUCGUAGGACACCUUGACGGAAAGCUACUUCAAUUAUGUCUCGUUCAUCAAAUGUCAAACCUGAAAAAUAGUUUAAGAUAAAUAUGCUUUAUAAAAUUAAUAUAUACCACUUUUCAUUUUCAUUAAAAUUUCAAUUAUCUCAGGGAUAUCAAACUCAAUUUCAUUGAGGGCCACAUCGGGGUUGUGUUUGACCUUGGGGAGGCAUGGCUGGGGAGGAGUGUGGCCAGUUCAAUGUCACUUGUGUUGGGGGCACCUGUGGUGGCUAAGUGCUAAGGCAGACCUUCCCUCAGACCUUCCCGCCCUCUAAUUAUAAUCUCCUUCCUUCCUCCACCACCCCCCAACUCUGUUUUCACUGGCAGAGGCACCGCGGGCCGGUCCUUUACUGUUUCCAGGGCCCAUGGUCUAAGCACCCCAUGGGUCGGAUUUGGCCCACAAGCCUUGAGUUUGACACCCCUACCCUAUCUGGAAAACAACUUCUUCCUGCCUUUAAUUUCAAACUUACUUGAAAAAUGUGUGCUGUUCUUAACAUCCCACUCUAACCUCAACUCAUUCUGAGGUUUUGCUUUUCUGAUACCUUCUGUACUUUCAGAAUUACUUCUAUGUACUUUCUUUAGUGACAUAUCGCUCUUUCCUUUUUUUAUGUGUUGUUCUUUUCAAUUUGUAGAUAUUCACUUAAUGAUUUUUCUAACUACAUUAGUUUUUGCUAUCCUCCAUUUUUUUUCCUUUUAGGACAUCCUUUUGUGGCUUUAUUAUCUCUCCUUUUUUUGUAGCCAUCUAUUUUUUUGUUCCUUACAAACAACUUUGGUUACAUGGAAUCCUACUUUUAAUGCUCUGACUUAAUUAAAGUGUAUAAUCUCAAGGUACAUGCCAAUAUAUGCACAACAAUUCUUAAUAUAUUGAGAAUUCCAAUAUUACAUGCGCCUUUCUGCUUAAAAUUCUUACAAUUUUCUGAACUGCUUAUUGUGUUCAUGACAAAACCCAUGUGAUUCUGCUGAGACAUUGGUUUCCUGCCUGGGGAAUAGUAUUAAUAGUAUUAAUCCGGUC